ACUCCUACGGGAGGCAGCAGUGGGGAAUCUUGCACAAUGGGCGAAAGCCUGAUGCAGCAACGCCGCGUGCGGGAAGACGGCCCUAGGGUUGUAAACCGCUUUCAGGAGGGAAGAAAAUGACGGUACCUCCAGAAGAAGGUGCGGCCAACUACGUGCCAGCAGCCGCGGUGACACGUAGGCACCAAGCGUUAUCCGGAUUUAUUGGGGCGUAAAGAGCUCGUAGGCGGUUCGGUAAGUCGGGUGUGAAAUCCAAGGCUCAACCUUGGGACGCCACCCGAUACUGCUGUGACUCGAGUGCAGUAGGGGAGCAGGGAAUUCCUGGUGUAGCGGUGAAAUGCGCAGAUAUCAGGAGGAACACCAGUGGCGAAGGCGCUGCUCUGGGCUGUAACUGACGCUGAGGAGCGAAAGCAUGGGUAGCAAACAGGAUUAGAUACCCUGGUAGGAUAGCG
rnacentral:rRNA from 1 species